GGGUCAGUAGGUUGGUCGUGCCACCGGUACGUACUGGUCUCACUGAUUCCUCCUUCCUGAAGAACCGUAAUGCCAUUAAUUUGGUGUUGCGGGGAAACAGGACUGUUACUUUGAAAAAAUUAGAGUGUUCGAAGCAAGCUAACGCUUGAAUACAUUAGCAUGGAAUAAUGAAAUAGGACGAUCGAUCCUAUUUUGUUGGUUUCUAGGAUUGACGUA
rnacentral:rRNA from 1 species